GAUGAACGCUGGCGGCGUGCCUAAUACAUGCAAGUCGAGCGAACAGAUGAGGAGCUUGCUCCUCUGACGUUAGCGGCGGACGGGUGAGUAACACGUGGAUAACCUACCUAUAAGACUGGGAUAACUUCGGGAAACCGGAGCUAAUACCGGAUAAUAUAUUGAACCGCAUGGUUCAAUAGUGAAAGACGGUUUUGCUGUCACUUAUAGAUGGAUCCGCGCCGCAUUAGCUAGUUGGUAAGGUAACGGCUUACCAAGGCAACGAUGCGUAGCCGACCUGAGAGGGUGAUCGGCCACACUGGAACUGAGACACGGUCCCGACUCCUACGGGGGGCAGCAGUAGGGAAUCUUCCGCAAUGGGCGAAAGCCUGACGGAGCAACGCCGCGGGAGUGAUGAAGGUCUUCGGAUCGUAAAACUCUGUUAUUAGGGAAGAACAAAUGUGUAAGUAACUAUGCACGUCUUGACGGUACCUAAUCAGAAAGCCACGGCUAACUACGUG
rnacentral:rRNA from 1 species